AAAAAUAAAGAUUUUUCCCCCAAAAUUCUUCCAUGUGCCCGUUGUUUCUCCCAUCUUUCCCACAUCCCUGUUUCUUUCCAAUUUCUUCUGUUUUGUUGACUAAAAUUUUACUCUGCCAUUUUUCUUAUUUUGAUCAUCUUCUUAUUUUGUUUUGGUUUUACUCUUUCGUUAACAAUAUUUCGAUUUUUCUUCUACUUGGUUCUUUUCUCUUUUGCUUUAUUGUCGUCUAAGCCUCAAGUUUUUGAGCGUUUGAUCUCUUUUGGCCCACUGUUGGUUGUGUGUGCUUUGGAAUGUUAUAAUUUUUGUUAUGGUAAUUUGCAAUUAUAAUUUGUUUGUUAUUGAAGGUUGUUUUAAUUUUGGAAGAAUUUUGGUUUUGUUAGGUGAUAAUUGCGAGAUUCGUAAUCCUUUGGUAGUCUAGUUGCUGUUUAACCGCUGAUUUUUCGGGGUAAAGGAUCAUCUGUUAGGUUUAGGGACUGUUUUUAUUAAGGGAUCAGGGAAUUCAACUUUUGGUUUCAAUAAUUGGUUGUUAAUAGAUUCACUUUGGAUAUCCUAGGUAGAUUCUGAAUUUGCUGGACUGUUUAGGAAGUGUUCAGGUGUGUGACUUAACCCAGUACGAUUUGUUUGUGUGAGUUAACUAAAAAAUUUUGGAAAAUAGUGAAAAUAUCAAAACUGUUGACGUCACACAACUGUGUGAUUGGCCGUGUGAGCCACAGGCCGUGUGGAACACAGAGGCAUGUACGAUUAAACGAUCUAAUCAGGCAGGGCGAGUGGGCCACACGAUCUAGCUUGGUAGGCCAUGUGGGCCCAUUUUGGUAGGUUUGUUGGGCUUAGUUUGGGCCAUAAAUGAGAUUAUGAAAUUGGAUUAUUAUUGUAAUGAAAGCAUGGAAGACCAUGUAAUUCAUAAAUUAGAGCUUUUGUAUGUUAGUAAAGCAUGAUUCUGAUUAAUAAAACUCUGUGUAAGCUAUGUAACAUAAUUUGUAUUGUGACACUUAUGUAAGCAUGUCAUAAAUUUGUUUCGCC
rnacentral:lncRNA from 1 species